GCUCGGGUGGUGGAAUUGGUAGACACACACGUUUGAGGGGCGUGUGCCGAAAGGCGUGCGGGUUCGAGUCCCGCCUCGAGCACCA
rnacentral:tRNA from 1 species